rnacentral:rRNA from 1 species
AACGAACGCUGGCGGCAUGCCUAACACAUGCAAGUCGAACGAGACCUUCGGGUCUAGUGGCGCACGGGUGCGUAACGCGUGGGAACCUGCCCUUAGGUUCGGAAUAACUCCCCGAAAGGGGUGCUAAUACCGGAUAAUGUCUUCGGACCAAAGAUUUAUCGCCUUUGGAUGGGCCCGCGUUGGAUUAGCUAGUUGGUAGGGUAAAAGCCUACCAAGGCGACGAUCCAUAGCUGGUCUGAGAGGAUGAUUAGCCACACUGGGACUGAGACACGGCCCAGACUCCUACGGGAGGCAGCAGUGGGGAAUAUUGGACAAUGGGCGAAAGCCUGAUCCAGCAAUGCCGCGUGAGUGAUGAAGGCCUUAGGGUUGUAAAGCUCUUUUACCCGGGAUGAUAAUGACGGUACCGGGAGAAUAAGCACCGGCUAACUCCGUG